rnacentral:rRNA from 1 species
GACGGGGAGCACUACAACGGGUGGAGCCUGCGGUUUAAUUGGACUCAACGCCGGAAACUCACCGGGGCGACAGCAAUAUGUAGGUCAAGCUAAAGACUUACCAGAAUCGCUGAGAGGAGGUGCAUGGCCGUCGUCAGUUCGUACUGUGAAGCAUCCUGUUAAGUCAGGCAACGAGCGAGACCCGUGCCCACUGUUGCCAGCAUGUCCUUCGGGAUGAUGGGUACUCUGUGGGGACCGCCGAUGCUAAAUCGGAGGAAGGUGCGGGCUACGGUAGGUCAGUAUGCCCCGAAUCUCCCGGGCUACACGCGGGCUACAAUGACUGGGACAAUGGGCUCCUACCCCGAAAGGGGAUGGUAAUCUCAUAAACCCAGCCUUAGUUCGGAUCGAGGGCUGUAACCCGCCCUCGUGAAGCUGGAAUCCGUAGUAAUCGCGUUUCAACAUAGCGCGGUGAAUACGUCCCUGCUCCUU